rnacentral:rRNA from 1 species
GGCUUAGAGUUUGAUCAUGGCUCAGGAUGAACGCUGGCGGCGUGCCUAACACAUGCAAGUCGAGCGAAGCACUUUACUUUGAUUCUUCGGAUGAAGAGUUUUGUGACUGAGCGGCGGACGGGUGAGUAACGCGUGGGUAACCUGCCUCAUACAGGGGGAUAACAGUUAGAAAUGACUGCUAAUACCGCAUAAGACCACAGCGCCGCAUGGUGCAGGGGUAAAAACUCCGGUGGUAUGAGAUGGACCCGCGUCUGAUUAGCUAGUUGGUAAGGUAACGGCUUACCAAGGCGACGAUCAGUAGCCGACCUGAGAGGGUGACCGGCCACAUUGGGACUGAGACACGGCCCAAACUCCUACGGGAGGCAGCAGUGGGGAAUAUUGCACAAUGGGGGAAACCCUGAUGCAGCGACGCCGCGUGAGCGAAGAAGUAUUUCGGUAUGUAAAGCUCUAUCAGCAGGGAAGAAACUGACGGUACCUGACUAAGAAGCACCGGCUAAAUACGUGCCAGCAGCCGCGGUAAUACGUAUGGUGCAAGCGUUAUCCGGAUUUACUGGGUGUAAAGGGAGCGUAGACGGAUAGGCAAGUCUGGAGUGAAAGCCCGGGGCUCAACCCCGGGACUGCUUUGGAAACUGUUUAUCUAGAGUGCUGGAGAGGUAAGUG